AAAUUGAAGAGUUUGAUCAUGGCUCAGAUUGAACGCUGGCGGCAGGCCUAACACAUGCAAGUCGAGCGGCAGCGGGAAAGUAGCUUGCUACUUUUGCCGGCGAGCGGCGGACGGG
rnacentral:rRNA from 3 species